GAUGAACGCUAGCGGCAGGCCUAACACAUGCAAGUCGAACGGUAACAUAAAGUGCUUGCACUUUGAUGACGAGUGGCGCACGGGUGCGUAACGCGUAUAGAACCUACCCUGUACAGGGGGAUAGCCCAUGGAAACGUGGAUUAAUACCCCGUGGUGAUCUUAAGUGGCAUCAUUUGAGGUUUAAAGCUUUCGGGCGGUACGGGAUGGCUAUGCGUCUUAUUAGUUAGUAGGUGAGGUAACGGCUCACCUAGGCAGCGAUAAGUAGGGGCCCUGAGAGGGAUCCCCCACACUGGUACUGAGACACGGACCAGACUCCUACGGGAGGCAGCAGUGAGGAAUAUUGGACAAUGGGCGGAAGCCUGAUCCAGCCAUGCCGCGUGCAGGAAGACGGCCUUAUGGGUUGUAAACUGCUUUUAUACGGGAAGAAUAAUCGCCACGUGUGGUGAGAUGACGGUACCGUAAGAAUAAGGACCGGCUAACUCCGUGCCAGCCGCCGCCGUAACAC
rnacentral:rRNA from 1 species